rnacentral:misc_RNA from 1 species
UUAAUAAAAAUCGGCGUGUUGCUCUUUUGUGAUGCUCCGGAGUUUGGGUCAUCUUAUAAUAAUACCUUUUAAGUGUUUUUAAGAGGCUUAAAAUUGACAUCUUUUUUGCGCAUUUUUUGACGUACAUAAAUUUUUUUAUUCGUUUAUUCUAAUGCCAAAAUCCUAUUAGAUGCGACCAUAUCGUGUGGUUUCGUGUCUAUAAAUUUUUUCAUG